CCAGCUUCCUUCUUCUCUGUCCUUAGACUCUGGGCACCUAUAUAUCCUUUUCAUUUUAGCAUUUUUGUUUACUCAUUCAAUCAUAAUUACCAAUUACCACCAUACAUAUCUUGACAAAAGAAAUUAAUUAGUUUUUUUUAUAUCCUUAACCAAGGCUGCUCAUGAGCAGGAUUUAUGCACAUCCAUUAAUAUCAAACCAGCCCAUUUGGUUGAACUCAUCUUCUAAGAGAGAUUCAAGUGCCAUGGCAGAAAGAGAUGGGACCAGAGUUUUGGUUCCAAGUGCAGAAGGUUGAUUGAGCUGUUUGUCUCCAAAGAUGUCUCUGAAGACCAACAAUUGAUUGAUUAUAUCACAUCCCAAUGCAACAUUUCACUGGAGCAAGACACCCUGCUUGGUGCUGGCUGCAAUACAAGCUUCCCUGUCAAUAUAAAUGACAUGAGCACUGAAAUACAACCACAG